ACCGGUCGCCCCCUCGCCUCGCCUUUCUCGUACUCCCGGCGCCUGAAUUAUUCCAGUCCGCAAGCAGGAGGGAGCGUACAGUACCGGGUCGCGCGGAGCUGCCGAGAGCCUCGCAACAGGAAAGCGAGCGAGCGAGCGGGCGGCGAGCGCGCCACGGCGCUCACAAUCGGCCAGCGAGAAGAGCAAGGAGACAUUAACAUCCAAUUAGUGCCGUGUUUAACGAGGGAGACAGAGGCGGCUGUUGUUUUAUUGCCCUGUUCUUUUCAGUCGCAUCUGACAGGCAGCGGGGAAGGCACCCCUGCUCGAAGUGACGUCAUCAUAUUUUAUUUUUUUAUUUAUUUAUUUUUUUUCUUUCCUUUUUCCUCUCCCCCCCGGCUUUCCUCCUCCAAGUUUCUCGGCGACGUCUCGGCAGCUCGGCUAAGGGAAACUCGGCGCUUUCGGCUCCCCCCUUCUCCGCCUCCGGCCUCCUUCGCCCCCUCCCCGACGCCGGCCCUCGAAAAACAAACGCGCCAACCCACCCCGAAGUCUUUGUCCUUCCAAAAAGCCAAAAGCGAAAACGUGCRGGCGAAGGCGGCCGGCGCGCGGCGGAGGCUCUCCCGGCGCGCGGGGCUGCGUGCGUGCGUGCCUGCCUGCCCGUCUCGCUCGCGCUCCUCUGCCGAGACGGCUCGCGCGGCUUGUAAAACUUUGCGGCAUGUGACUCCGCUCCCAGCCUCCUUUGGCAGCGUGACAAGAACCGCUCCGGCGGAUCGGCGAGCGCGGGCGGCUUUUAAGGAAGAAACUCAAUUCAGAAAGAUUAAGGAAUUACGGCGUUUUUUCAUCAAGGGGCCGCGCGGGCUGGGCGGCGGGCGGCCGCCGGGAGGGAAGGGGCAGCGUCGAGCGGCCGGGCCGAGGAGGGGGGAGAGGAAUCGAACCGGGAGCCGGAGAGACUUAUUUAACGGUCGUGUUUCCCUCCUCCCCUCCGCAGGCCGUGGCGGGGGGGGGGCCGCGGCGACCAGCGAGUGCAGCCCGGCAGCCGGGACGGCCCCCGUGUCACCGCCGGGGCCACCGCACGCGGGGAGGAGCGCCUUCGCCGGCACCCCGCGGCCUGGCUCGUCCCCCAAGGCCUCCUCGCGGGGCCCAACGCCGCAGAGCUCUCAUCCCCCCCGUCAAACCCCUCCGGAGCGGCGGGGAGCCUGA
rnacentral:lncRNA from 1 species